rnacentral:rRNA from 1 species
GACAUUUGGUAGAGACUGUUGCACCCACCUGGUCCCAGCAGACCCCAGAAAUCAGCCACAUUCGCUGGUGCUGGAACAAGUUCGUUGGGGUGAAGCCUGGUGCCAGAUGUGU